CCAAAAUUUGGCAUGCAGGCGCUCAGUGCUCUGCCAGAUCACUCCAAGCCAGCCCCACUGUCCAUCCUGCAGUUCCUGGUCCCGCUGCUGUCUGCAGGAUCCAGCAAAGCAGCUCCAGUUUGGAUGGUGGCACCAGUCUCCAGCCCCCACCCAGCAAAGCCACAACCCCAGCAGCUGCACAGGAGGAUGGGAAGGUGCCACCAGCACCCUCCCCAGCAGGCUGAUAUUUCACAUCAGGAGCAGAGCUGCCCCUGGAAAACUGUGAGAUGCCACCACUGAGAGCUGGCUCACAAAACUAAAACAGCAUUCUCCCGCUGGGAUAACAUGAGACUUAGCUGGGAUUUUUCCUGCUGAAUAAACAGGGAAUACUCUUUCUCAUUUGCAUCUAAGGCUCAAGUCCUGAAUGUUCAAGCCCUCCUGGAUGGCCCUGAGAAAGAUAAGCUAUCUCCCCCAUCUCCCAGCCUGGGAGCAGCAAACAUUCCUGCUUUGUGGAACAAAACCUCUGGCUGACCUA